UGCCAACAGCUGGAGAGGCAGGAGCUCCCUCAGCCGAGAUAUGGGAAGGAGCCUGAGUUGCAGCCCUUAGUGUUUCCUCGCUUAAAUCUCUCUCAUGCCAUCCCACACUGGAUUGUUACAGAAAGGGAGAUGUGGACAGCAGUCAGUCUUGGGCAGCAAAGACAAGCGUCUGCAUUUCAGAGGGAAAAGUGCCCCUUCAAAGUGUUGACCAGCCUUUGUAGGAUGGACUUCCAAAGGAAAAAAAAAUACCCAUGUCACGGGCUGUGUGGUAACGUUUGUCUGAUACACACGUGUGCGCACACACACUGCACUCCCUGGAUAUUAAGGUAAUGAUGACAAUGUUUUCACUGUCUGUGGACAGAGCAGCCUCCCUACUCCACGUGCUAAGGUCUCUGCAGGCCGGCAGGCAGAGCGCAGAGCUUAACAGCUUGAAGGAUGACGGCGUCUUUUGGCACGUGGGCAAAAACGCCGUAACUUAUUACGGCAUGCAGGCUGGCACAGACACAGUGAACAGUUUGAGCUGACUGUAAAGGAAGCCAGAUAAGAAGAGAGCAGGGAAACAUUUUCUUUCUUCUUUGUUUUGCAGUUUUCUAGGCCGGUCCAGUGUUUCUUUUAUGAUGUAACACUCCCGUCUGCCCUUUGAUGCUAGUUUGUCUGUCUGCACCCUGAUUUAUGAUGCUUUCCAUUAACUGCUGGAAACAGAUUGUAGCAAAUUGAAUGCAGCCGGAGCCAUGGUUUUUUCUGCUCUUUUAAAAAAGUGCAAAUUUAGUGUUCCUAGGGGUGCAAGGUUGACUGCCCUGGAGUGUGAAAUCCUCCUGGCCCCAAAACUGGGACAGCACACACGGGGGCUCCCUGCUAUGGAGCAAUUCCCUUCCAUUAAGAGGCAGGAGGUAACAUGAUCUCCAGGAGCCUGCUUAACCCUUGGCUUCUCUGCUGAGACACUGAGUCAGCUAAAUGCCAUUUAUGGUGGUGGUUUUUGUGAUGUGAUCAGCUACAUCUGCUAGCUAGGCACUGGAUUGAAAGCAGGUGCUCCACAUGCCAGAUAUUGUCAUGCACGUGAACUAUAUGCACAGGGAAAAUCAUCAUCUUUCAUUCAUUGGAGCAACUGAUGAUGAUCGUGAAGCAAAGCGUUCAGUAGAAAAGUUAUAGGGCCUCACUGGAGCAAGGGUGUCCUUAAGGCCCCAGCUAUGCUGCUAAAGGAACAAAUCAGGCUAUCCCCUUUUCAUAUAUAGACUUUUUUUUGCUGGUAUAUAAACACAAUCAUUUCCUAGAUGUGGCACUUUCUUGAUGAAGCAAAAACCCUUGCGUUCACCUUCUAUCAAUUUAUGCUAAUAUUUGUGGCCCUAAUCAAUAUGUAGAGCAUGACUUUUUGAAGGCACUAAGUUAUCUGUAUGAAUCCAUUUCCCUUAAACAGUUAAAAAUUGUCCUUGAUUAUCAUCUGCUAUUUCAUAGAGAUUUUUAAAA